rnacentral:RNase_P_RNA from 1 species
AAUCGCGGCUGCAAGUGUCGAAAGACCGCAGGUGAGGAAAGUCCGGGCUUCACAGGGCAGGAUGCCGGAUAACGUCCGGUGGAGGCGACUCCCAGGCCAGUGCAACAGAAAAGAACCGCCACAGUUUUGUGGUAAGGGUGAAAAGGCGAGGUAAGAGCUCACCGCUUCUCUGGUAACAGAGAGGGCUGUGUAAACCCCAUCCGAAGCAAGACCGAACAGAGACGAUACGGCGGCCCGUCGUGUCUCGGGUAGGUUGCUUGAGCUUGCUGGUAACAGUAAGCCUAGAUAGAUGAUUGUUUGAUACAGAACUCGGCUUAUAGUGUUGCUCAU